CGAGGAAAAGAAAUCAACCGAGAUUCCCCCAGUAGCGGCGAGCGAACGGGGAGGAGCCCAGAGCCUGAAUCAGUGUGUGUGUUAGUGGAAGCGUCUGGAAAGGCGCGCGAUACAGGGUGACAGCCCCGUACACAAAAAUGCACAUACUGUGAGCUCGAUGAGUAGGGCGGGACACGUGGUAUCCUGUCUGAAUAUGGGGGGACCAUCCUCCAAGGCUAAAUACUCCUGACUGACCGAUAGUGAACCAGUACCGUGAGGGAAAGGCGAAAAGAACCCCGGCGAGGGGAGUGAAAAAGAACCUGAAACCGUGUACGUACAAGCAGUGGGAGCCUCUUAAUGGGGUGACUGCGUACCUUUUGUAUAAUGGGUCAGCGACUUAUAUUCUGUAGCAAGGUUAACCGAAUAGGGGAGCCGAAGGGAAACCGAGUCUUAACUGGGCGUUAAGUUGCAGGGUAUAGACCCGAAACCCGGUGAUCUAGCCAUGGGCAGGUUGAAGGUUGGGUAACACUAACUGGAGGACCGAACCGACUAAUGUUGAAAAAUUAGCGGAUGACUUGUGGCUGGGGGUGAAAGGCCAAUCAAACCGGGAGAUAGCUGGUUCUCCCCGAAAGCUAUUUAGGUAGCGCCUCGUGAAUUCAUCUCCGGGGGUAGAGCACUGUUUCGGCAAGGGGGUCAUCCCGACUUACCAACCCGAUGCAAACUGCGAAUACCGGAGAAUGUUAUCACGGGAGACACACGGCGGGUGCUAACGUCCGUCGUGAAGAGGGAAACAACCCAGACCGCCAGCUAAGGUCCCAAAGUCAUGGUUAAGUGGGAAACGAUGUGGGAAGGCCCAGACAGCCAGGAUGUUGGCUUAGAAGCAGCCAUCAUUUAAAGAAAGCGUAAUAGCUCACUGGUCGAGUCGGCCUGCGCGGAAGAUGUAACGGGGCUAAACCAUGCACCGAAGCUGCGGCAGCGACACUAUGUGUUGUUGGGUAGGGGAGCG
rnacentral:rRNA from 1 species